GGGGAAGCCGGUCGAAAUCCGGCACUGACCCGCAACGGUGGGCCGCCCAGCUUUCAGGGGUGGCGAGUCCGAUUACCC
rnacentral:ncRNA from 1 species